UGGGGAAUUUUGGACAAUGGGCGCAAGCCUGAUCCAGCCAUGCCGCGUGUCUGAAGAAGGCCUUCGGGUUGUAAAGGACUUUUGUCAGGGAGCAAAACUUACUGGUUAAUACCUGGUGAGGUUGAGAGUACCUGAAGAAUAAGCACCGGCUAACUACGUGCCAGCAGCCGCGGUAAUACGUAGGGUGCAAGCGUUAAUCGGAAUUACUGGGCGUAAAGCGUGCGCAGGCGGACUUUUAAGCCAGAUGUGA
rnacentral:rRNA from 1 species